rnacentral:lncRNA from 1 species
AUUUACGAUGGCCUCUCCUCAAGGCGAACCUUCUGAUCCCAAUCCACCACGAUUCCCUUCGAGUGAAUCCCUGUUUCCGACGGGAGAUGGAUUUACUCCACAAGGGGUGGCCAUUCCUUGUUUUCUUUCUUCCAUGUCUAAGGAAGAAAAGAUCGAGUGCCAUGAAUUCAUGGAACAGGUUUGACCUCGAUACCAGUUGUUUCAAGGUUGUACUCGAUAAAUUCGUAAUGCAUCUGUUCUUUGCAGAUCACCAAAAGGUACGUCUUCCUCUGCUCCGAAAGGCAACGCCUUGGAAGGAAACG